rnacentral:misc_RNA from 1 species
CUCGGCCCGCACAAUCGCACAUACACGAAGAGAAGCUAAGGCAGGGUUGUGCUGUCCCUUCUGUUGUCCGUCUGGUUCAUUCAUCGUCCAAGUGUAUCCAAAGCCCACCCAUGUGUAACAAGGUUUUAGUGCAGAAAUUAAGUGUGGGCCAAAAGACAUACCCGUACCAUAAAGAGUACGGAUUAACUGAAGGUUACAGUGAUUCUGUGGUGCUGUGGAGCUUCUCUUCCUAAAUCAUCUUACAAGAAACACCAGCAUCUUGUUAGCUGGGAUUUGCAUAAUAUUUGUACUGUCAGUACUGUCCAAAGACAGAUUGUAGUGUCAAUACCCAACACUCAUUAUAUAAUUGACAAUCUUAGAUUACUUGAAAGGAAACUCACAAAUUUCUGGCAAACGCAAACCAUUACAAUAUAAAAUUAAUACCUCUCCCAAUAAACUCAGCCACUUUGAAACAGUGAACAACCUUGCGAGCGAAGGGAAGCAGCCGCCAGAACAUCUUUGAGGUUCACGUAAUCAACUUCCGACUUUCUCUUGUGAACCGGAAGGCGUUCCUCUCCUGCUGGUGUUUAACAGUGACUUGUUGGCGUGAAGGUCACAGUUGAUCUUCGUCACGCGCUGCAGGUAUAUAUAAACCACUUUACUUUAGGCAGACCCAUACGGCUCCCGUGUACCAACAACGUAACCUGUCAGCAGCCGCUGGAAUAAUCAAGUCUGAAUUGCUGCCACUAUAGUACAUAAGGACAUUUGCUGUACUACUGUAUAGAUAAAAAAAAAAAAAACUUGAAACUCUUUACGUAUCACUGCUUGUAACCUGAACUUAUCGCGUCGUACGUUGCACAGGUUUUAAAAACUUUCGUGAAGAGACAGCCAACUUUGCUGUGUGACGUGAAAAUACUUGAUAUAGUGACAGGUGGUCAAAGUAUGGCACCCACCCCCACCAUGGAGCCAAGCGACGGGGAGGAAGAGUGGCGUCGCAUGGCACGUGAACAUCCUGUCAUGAGGCUCACUAGGAAUGACAAAGAAGUGGGGAUGGACUAUGUCAACAUCCCUCACGUGGUGGCCAUGGUUGGCUUACCCGCCCGGGGUAAGACCUAUAUAGCCAUGAAGUUGGCUCGGUAUCUCAACUGGGUCGGUCUUCCCACCAAAGUUUUCAACGUUGGUGACUACCGCCGGCAAGCUGUAGGAAGCUACCAAGGUCAUGACUUCUUCCACCCUAGGAACCGCGAUGGCACGAACAUUAGGAACAAAUGUGCUCUUGAUGCUCUACAGGAUGUGUGCGAGUUCCUACAGUCAGGAGGGAUGGUGGCGGUGUACGACGCCACCAACACCAACGAGGAGCGCCGUCAGCUGAUCCACCACGUCAUCUGUCAGAGUAUGGGGUACAAGCUAUUCUUCAUUGAGUCCAUCUGCAAUGACCCAAAAAUUAUUGAAACAAACAUCAUGGAAUGUAAGGUGACAAACCCUGACUACACCAACAUGGAGAAGGAGGAUGCUGUGAAGGACUUCCUAAAGCGCAUUGAGCACUACCGCUCCCUGUAUGAGCCGCUGGAUGAAGAGAAAGAGAACCAAUACAGUUUCAUGAAGAUAUUUGAUGCAGGCCGACGAGUGGUGGUACACAAGCAGGAAGGUCACAUCGAGAGCCGCAUCGCUUAUUACCUCAUGAAUAUACACAUUACCCCAAGGUCCAUCUAUCUGACGAGGCAUGGAGAAUCAGUGUACAACCAGUUAGGUCGUAUUGGAGGAGACACUGAUCUAUCUCACCGAGGUCGGCAGUAUUCAAAUGCCCUUGCCAAGUUCAUUUCUGACCAAAGCAUCCCCAAUCUACGUGUCUGGACGUCCUGCAUGAAGAGAACAAUCCAGACUGCAUCUGGCAUCAGUGCUCCUCAGGAGAGAUGGAAGGCUCUCAAUGAGAUUGAUGCUGGUAUUUGUGAGGGCUUGACAUAUGAGGAGAUCCAGGAGCAGUACCCCGAUGAGUUUGCUGCUCGUGACCAGAAAAAAUACUCCUACAGGUAUCCACGAGGUGAAUCGUACGAGGAUGUGCUGGUUCGUCUGGAGAGUGUCAUAAUGGAGCUUGAACGACAGGAGAAUGUGUUGGUGGUCGGUCAUCAGGCUGUUCUCAGAUGUGUCUUAGCGUAUUUCCUGGACAAGAGUGCUGUGGAGCUCCCCUACCUGAAGGUCCCCCUACACACAAUUAUCAAACUCACACCUCAGGCCUAUGGGUGCAAGGUUGAAUUCUUCAAGAUUCCCAUUGACUGUGUUGAUACUCAUCGAUCUAAACCCGUGGUUACGCGCAGUGAUGAAGGGAAGGAGGAAGACAUGCAGGGAGCGUCUAGUGAAGUAGACGUAAUAGAGGGAGUGCAAGUCAGUGUAAUACAAGGAUUAGUGGAGGGAUUGUCCGUGCGUGACAAUAGACCCACUGAAGCUCAAGAUGACAUGAAUAGCCAGCUCGGGGCAGUGGGAGGUGUUCACUUUCCAGAGUCAGCCCGUGCCCUCUCAGCAUUUAGACGGCCACGGGAGUAAAAUUUAGAUGACAAGAUGGAGGACUAAUCAGACCAUCUCAGACAAGAGUGAACAUUGCUUUGAUAUCUGCCCAUUCUGCAACUUAAAGUGAAAUUUGAUAGUAAAUAUUUUUUAUUUUGGCAAUGUAAAACUUGUAUAAUCAAGAACGAAAACUGGGAUUGCUGAUAAAUUAGGAACUAGUUGCAAACCCAGAAAGUUGCAUCACAGUGAACAUUGCUUCCUUCCCACUACUCAGUGUUUUGAAAUUUUAUUAAUACUUUAACUUCAAAAUACUGUGCCGUUUUUUUGUAUUUUAUAUUAAAUUAUCUGAUAAGAAAAUGUUGUAACACUUGGCUAAGGAACAAGUAAUAGGAAAUUAUCUCUGCCUCUGAGUCAGUCAUGCAGGACCUGGCAAAACAGAAUCUUAAUAUCCAAGACAAUACAGUGCAGUAUUUAAAAAUUUUUGUUAAUGAUUACUCGGGGUUAAAAAUAAACAGUAUCUCAUAUCAUUAUGUGGAAAAAUAUACAAUAUAAAGUGUGCACAGCAGCUUUUGUGAUUCAUUCUUCAUUGCAUAGCAGAUUUUGUUGUUUAUUUUUUCAAACUUACUCACUGCUUGUUACUCAUCUAAGCAUUCAAGACCAUCAGUGCUUGUGGUAAACCAUCCCACUCUGCUUUCAUUUGUUUGUGUAUUUUUAUUGAAGCUGUGAGGUAUUUAUGUUACAUAUUUUUGGGUUUUAGUAGCAUACACUUGAAAAGUACAGCCUCUGAACUGUAAUUGGUUAACCGCUUCUCAAAAAAAUAAGUUUACUUCAAAUGAGAAGAUCUUAAAAAUCCAAAAAUCUUUAUAAUGCAUUAUUGGCAUAAAGAUACUGGAGAGUAUAUUUUAAAACAAUUGUUUCAUAUUAAAAUAUGUAAUUUUAAUAAUUGCAAAGAUCUGCGACUGCUUUUUUUCAUGUAGGAAACACUGGGUAGACCAACCACCUCAACGGCUAGUAAGCUGAUAAGUAGUAAAUAGUACUGAAACAGUAUUUUUAACCUUGAUUAAUUAUAUCACUACGUCUCAUUGCCGUUUAUGUCCUGCUGACAGUGUUUAAAGUAGGAAGGAAGAAGCUUUCUGUAAUCCAAAUUAUUCUUUACUAACAAAUCAUAGGGAGACUCCAGGUACAUAUGAGAGAAUCUGUCAUGGGUUGGGGGAAGAGAAUGUCCCCUCCUCUUCUGAAGUGUUUUUGACGAUAGUGAAAGAAAAGGGAUCUUGUAGACCAGAUGCCAUUUUAGGGGUGGUGUGGAAGUAACAGACUGUAGAAAUUGGCCUUUGGUGCACAAGGAAACGAUGGUACAAACACUACUCUCUACCAUCUUUCACUGCUGUGAAGUUAGGUAUUCCUUCUGCAGUUGGGUCGAAUGAUGGCGACCUACAUGGUGGCUGGCCAUGGGACCUUAACCAAUGAUCAUUGGGUCUGGAGAUGAGUGCUGUAUUAAUUUAUUUGCCAAGACCUACUUGAUUAUGGUGCCUUAUAUACAUUGUUUAUAAUAUUCUUCAUGGUGUUCAAGACAUCUUUUACAAGGUUGUUUACUUUAUUCAUGGUGUUCAAGACAUCUUUUACAAGAUUGUUUACUUUAUUCAUGGUGUUCAAGACAUCUUUUACAAGAUUGUUUACUUUAUUCAUGGUGUUCAAGACAUCUUUUGCAAGGUUGUUUACUUUAUUCAUGGUGUUCAAGACAUCUUUUACAAGGUUGUUUACUUUAUUCAUGGUGUCCAAGGUUGCUUAUUUUACACAAUGGUGCCUAACAUAUCAUUUGCAUGGUUGUUUUUUUUUACUGUACUUAAAAACUACAGCAUUACUCUUUAUAUUAAAGCAUCUGAACUUGCUAAAAUCAUACAGGACUUGGUAGUCUGAGUGUGAAAUGCAUAAUUAUGCUUGACAUUCAUACAUUUCUAUAUUUUUAAGUAAGUCGAAUUUCACUGACCCGUGUCUAGAACUUCAUCUAUUUUUAUGAUGCUAAUUGGUAUAAGAACAAGCAGGCUAUUGGUUUGAUACACAUAUUCUCUCGAGGGUUCACUAAUCAUUUGGUCCAAGGAUCUCUUAUGAGUUUCAGUAGAUUUAGAAGAAAUAUUGUUAAUUUCUUGGUGUAUUAAGAUUCUGUUUUUGCCAUCCUGGUUAAUUGAGAAGCUGAUGUAUUAUUAUAUUUAUGAAUUUGACUUGGGUAAAACAAUUUCCAUAAAUAAGUGAGAAUAGGCUGUAUUGCAUGUGCCAGCCCUGUAUUGCAUUGCAUUGUGGGAAAGGUAGUCAUCUUUGUGUAAAAAUAUAAUGAAGUUUUAUUAAGACUUAUAUUUCCUUUACAGAAAAUUAGCUAUAUUUUGGGAAGUUAUAAAUGUAUUAAUAUAUUUACUACAAAUUAAUGUUUGCGAGGGACUUGCAUGCUUUUUUGACAUUCUUAAUACAGUACUGUACUUUGAUAUUGUGUGUUCUUCUGGUUACUGAAUGUUUUUGAUUGAUCUGCAUGAAUUUAAUGAGUUUUAUAAAUUUUGUUAAAGCCUCUUUAAUGGUCUCAAUUGAAGCAUUUUUGAGGUGUUAACUGCAGGUGAACAUUAUGGGUAUCUCUCCCUCUUAUACCUCAGGUUACGCACACCUUAAUAAGAUUCCAAUAUAUUUGAUGUUGAUGUCCGUCUUUUUUUUUAAUUCUCGGUAUAUUUUUUAUUUUUUAAUCAGUACAGUUUCCUGUUACUAUAUCCAGGUUAAAUUCAAUCAUUCCAUAAGUGUAUUUGUGGCUGUGUUAACCCAUUACAGCAUCACUCAUUCACGCCAUAAGCUAGUUUAGUUAUGCUACUUUGACGGGUGGGUAAAGGUAUUUUGCAGUGUUGUACAUUGACGCCGUUAAUUUAACGCCGUCAAUGGACGGUCGCAACCUUUUGUUAACGCUGACGCCAUAAAUUUUUUGGUCAGGUAAUGCUACAGGUGACGCAGUCAACUUUUCACCCGAGCGAAGCGUCAAGUGUCAAUUUGUUCGUCAACUUCUAAAUUUUUUUAUUUUUCCAAGUUCGAUUUUCAAUUAUCUUGUUAUAAAGACGACCUGGAGGGUGCAGUGAGGGAGACGACAAAGACCAUGUUGUGGAGGACGAAAUGUUCCAGGCCCUGUAUGAGACCCCCGCAGGAAUAAAAAACACAGUGACCUUUUCAAGUGUUUCCUGGGGGAGAAACCCCCGAAAAAAACUUUCGACAAGGACACCUUCCCCAACAAGGCCAUGAGGGACUUGUUCAUCGAAUACAACACCCCCAUCCCCUCUAGUGCUGCCGUGGAGCUCAUGUUUUCCAUGGGCAAGGACGUCUUGAGGCCCAAGCGCAGCAGAAUGAGCGACAAGCAUUUUGAGAUGCUAGUAUUCUUGUGGGGGAACAAAUGAAUAAUUAAAAUUAUAUAAUAUAAAUCAUAAUAAAUGAUUAAAAAUGAAUGAAUAUUUUUUUAUUUUGCACAUGUUACUCUCAUACACAGGAGAAUACGCGUUUCAUGGCUGCAUUUAAACGUCACCGAAAACUCGUUGACGCUAGGUGUUGACGCUGACGCUAACGGCGUCAAUUUAUGAAAUCGUUUAUGCCGAUGCUGACGGCAUCAAAUUUCUCAGCCGUUUACGCUGACGCUGGCAGCACCACUUUUUUCCGUUGACGUGUACAACACUGGUAUUUUAUAUGAAAGUAAGAACCAAGUACAACCAUUCCACAAUAACUCUAUUUACCAAGUUCAAUUAUUGCACGAACAUAUCAUAGUAAAGUUAAGGUGCUCCACAACUACGGUCACCCAUGAUGCAACACAUCCUGCGCUCUAUUUUCUCUGUUAUUAUUCUCCUCUUCAAAGCCUUAAAGUGGAAUAAGUGGAAAAUAAAGUGGUAGUAGUGAAUCUAGUAGGAGGAGGCAGCAAAAAGUUAUAUAAUUCAGCCAAAAAGUUAUUGAACAAACUGGCUAGAGUACUGGGAGUAUGGCAUCACCGAGUUGACAUUGUGAGUAAAUAGAGAAGGUUGAUUUAGGUAUAACAAUUAAUGUGGUAGUAAGCAUUUAUAAAGUGGGAAAAAGGGAUAGUAGUUGGGUAGAAGCCCAGGAACAUAACCAAGAUACAUAGUCAGGACUUAUUGUAUACUGUAUAGGUACAUUUCUUCAGUAGGACAUUUAGCCGCCCACCCCAUUGUUUAUAGUUGUCAGUCCUACUGUUAGGAUUGGAGCUCACAAAGACUCGUUUGUUAUGAUUGGACCCCAGUUCAUUUGAUCAGUCAUUUUUAUCGCGUACGUAAUGUCAAAUCAUAAACUAGACAGGUUAUUGCUUCACUUUUUCUUUUGUAAUAUAACUAUGACUACCUACCGAGUAAUAUUCAUGCACUCGGUGACUACAUUGGAGUACAUACAGUGUAUAGUACUAGAGAUAUAUCAUGAGUACCUGUUCUACUUUUUUGUAUGUUAUAUGAUUACAUUCCAGUAUUAAACAUAAAUUAUUUAGGGUGUGUAUCCUGUCUAAUGCCCUUUGGUCACAUCUUAGUAUGACUGUACAAGAGUUUAACUCUAUGUACAAAGUCAAGAUAUUGCACACGCACAUUUUACCUGCAAAUUAAUUUUUCAGCAUAGGAAUUGGUGCAUAUGGUUUUAGUAGAUAGUUACUGAGUUAUGAAAGUAACUGUUAGGAAGUGAUAUUAUCCUUUGUAAAGUAAAAUAUCACCAAAAAAUAUCAAAAUAGAUAUGGCCUCAACUCCAUAUUCUGAAAGUUGGUGGGGAUAUUACAUGCUGUUGAUUGCACAAAUCAGAUCUCACAGAUGUAGCCUCGUGCACUAAGCACUAAACCCAUCCCAUAAAUGUUGUGAAAUGGCAUACUUUAUGUUAGCCGUCCCUUAGAGGUGUGUACUGUUUAAUGAUCUAUAAUUGACUGCGAGAUAAUUUUUUUUUUUUUUAUAUUACUGCUUCACCAAAUUCCACUCUUUGUACAUUUAUCUAGACUUGAGAAAGCUUCAUGGAAUACUAUACUCGGUUUUCCCUAAGUGUGUGUGUUUGUUUUUUCUUAUUAUUUUAAAGCAAUGGAAUAUAAAGAGGUAAUGACUCAAACAUGAACUACAUUUCCCACAAUGUUUGGUGAGCAAUACUGCACUGGACAAGCAUCUCCACAAUAUACAUUUGAAGAUAUUUUUAAUGAGAAUUUUUAAUUCUGUUGGAUUUUGUCUGUAUAGAUAUAUUGUUUCUAUAUUAACCAAUUUUAUUUUCAGAGGAAAAGAUUUAUAACUGUAUAUGUAAACACACAUAAGACAUAUUUUUAUAAUUAAAUUAAAGGCUAAAGGAUGUUACUAUUAAGGUAUGGUUGUGGAUUAGUAUAUAAGGAACACACUCCAACACCUCCAGUAAUCUUGUAGGUAUCCCUGAAUGUGAAGACCACUGAUAAACACUAUCCAGUUUUGUUUAUCCUUGCUAAAGAGGAUAAAGUAAAGUAUAAAUGAUGGUGAAAGUAAUCUACUUGAACUGAGACUGACUGAUAGUGACCACCUUAGGGUUAAUGGUGACAAGCUUUUAAUUUGCAACUCAUUGAACAAUGUUGUGGAGAGGCUACUUGUUACCACAGGUACAGUGCCUCAAAUCAAAUCUUGGUCGCUGAGUAAAUGAGUGGGCGGUUUACAGCUCCUUGAUGUUGCUGUCCAUAGGAUGACUAGAUUUCAUUAUGUAGUCACUAAAAUCUGCAUCUUAUAAGUCUUGUGCUAUACACCAGGGUGUCCAAAUGGAUAAAUUAAUUUGAUAAAUCAUAAUGAAAAAUAUUGCAAAUCAAGAUUCUUUCGAGACCCAGUUAGCCAAAAGCUUUUGACACAGUUAUAUUCAAUUAGUGUUCUACCUGUAUUUAGUAUGGAGUCUCCCUCAAGCCAAAUUGACUCCUUUGAAGUCUUCCUAAUAUAUUUUAACCCUCUUGCGCAUCAUGACAUAAAUCAUGUCAAAUCAUUGGGUAGCAUUGUUUGCAUCGGUGAUGCGGAUCACAUUAUUAAACUUAAAAAGUUCUUCAAAAGAAAGUUUUCAAGAUAAUCACAUCAAAUUUUCAUGCAUCAUAAAUGACUGCAUUAUCUUGUGAGGGAAGCAUCCAGAAAGUAUCAAAAUGUGGAUGGUGUUCUGCAGGCCAUCAGUUUCCUCCCAUCAGCUGUACUGGUGGGUCGUAUUUGUCCCUUUAUCUCGUCUCCCAUUAUCCCCACAAUUAGUCAAUCAAAAUUUCAAAGCCACUGUUGGAAAGCUCAUAAAAUUCCACUUUUAAUUUUGAUAAUACCUUGGUAGGUUUGUGAGAAAAUAUCCAAGGUAAGAUGCCGGGAACACAAAUAAUUUUUUUCUUUAUUCUGAGUGAAAAUAUAUACAGUACAGUACGUACAGGGUAGUCUUAUUCUCGUCUUAAAUUUUUUCUGCUUAUGUUAAAACAAAAACAAUAACAAAGCCGGUGAUGUAUAAAUCAUACAAAAAAAUCCUGAUGGGAUAAAUUGGCUGUAGAUGGAAGAUGACCAGACUUGAUAUGAGUGGUCCCAUAUGAGCUUUGUCGUGAUCACAGAAAUUAAAAAUGUUAUUGCAAGCAUGGGAGGGUUAACCUGUAUUUAGUAGUGUUAGUUUUAUAGACCGGAAUUUAUUAUCAGUUUAUUGAAAUAUAGUACAUUUUGUUGUCAUAAGAUUUCGGUUCUCUGGGCUGGGAAACUGGAGGUUUUGGUGUUUAGCUUAAGGAUCAUCAGCUAUUGAAACUUGAA